UACGAAGGGGGCUAGCGUUGUUCGGAAUUACUGGGCGUAAAGCGCACGUAGGCGGACUAUUAAGUCAGGGGUGAAAUCCCGGGGCUCAACCCCGGAACUGCCUUUGAUACUGGUAGUCUCGAGUCCGGAAGAGGUGAGUGGAAUUCCGAGUGUAGAGGUGAAAUUCGUAGAUAUUCGGAGGGAACACCAGUGGCGAAGGCGGCUCACUGGUCCGGUACUGACGCUGAGGUGCGAAAGCGUGGGGAGCAAACAGG
rnacentral:rRNA from 1 species